AUGACCUUUUCCUGGCCCUUAGCUCAUCCAGGUGGAGUCUGUCCGGAGAAGUGGUGUGUGGAGGUGGCCAAGGCAUUGCCACAAGAGGCAGCUUUCAGCAGAAUUGGGAACAGCCCUUCCUGGGGAAGACGUGUCCUUCGGACUUUGGCUGAUGAGCAUUCUAAGUUGGCAGCAGAGGAGAAUCAUUCCUUUAUCCUCUGUCAUCAGAGGAGGGAUAAAGAAAGAGGGAAAAAAGGGUUAAUCGGGCAGCCGCUUAUAGGGUGUAUCCUGUGUUGCAGGCACCAAGUGAGUGUGGAGGUGCAGACGCGUGGCAGAGCUGGAACUGCUGCAGCUGCUGCCGCAGCUGGAGGAACCUUGAUCCCCGUGCUCCAGACACCCCGGGCCUUGCCAUGGCUGACCAGCUGACUGAGGAGCAGAUCACCUAGUUGAAGGAGGCCUUCUCCCUCUUUGACAAGGAUGGAGAUGGCACUAUCACCACCAAGGAGUUGGGGACUGUGAUGAGAUCCCUGGGGCAGAACCCCACUGAAGCAGAGCUGCAGGACAUGUUCAAUGAAGUGGACACAGAUGGGAACGGGACCAUUGACUUCCCAGAGUUCCUGACCAUGAUGGCCAGAAAGACGAAGGAGACAGACAGUGAGGAGGAGAUCCGAGAGGCGUUCCAUGUCUUUGACAAGGAUGGGAAUGGCUACAUCAGUGCUGCAGAGCUUCGUCAUGUAAUGACGAACCUAGGGGAGAAGGUGACUGAUGAGGAGGUGGAUGAGAUGAUCAGAGAGGCUGACAUCGAUGGAGACAGCCAGGUCAAUUACGAAGACUUUGUACAGAUGAUGACUGCAAAGUGAAGGCUCCCCAGGCAGCUGGCGAUGCCCAUUCUCUUGAUCUCUCUCUCUUUGUGUGCGCACUCUCUCUUUGACACUCCCCUGUGUACUCCGGUUCUGGCAAACACCAAUUGACUGACUGAGAAUCUGAUAAAGCAAUAAAAGAUUUGUCCCCCCCCCAAAAAAUGUCACCCUCAUUGCAGCCCCAUAAAAACAAGUAUUCUUAUCCUGCCUAAAGUCAUGUAUUAACUUGGCAUUAAUUCAACACAUUAUUGGAGGGAUUAUGCUCUAGGCCGGCCAACACCGUUACAGCUGUUGAGGUACCAGUAUAAACAAGAUAUGUCCCUCUACACAGAGAUGAGAAGGUUAACCAGCAAAAAAGUUAUGGGGACUGACUGAGGAAGAACAGAACCAGCAUGUCAAGCCAUUCAUGAUUCUGCAGCCCAUACGAGGCCUUCACACUGUGAAGCUGCUUUUGCCUGGUGCCAUCUUCUGAUUUGUGUUUCCUAAGGUUAAUAGGGCUGAUUUGGGGGCUCAAGGUUAAUAGGGCUGAUUUGCCACACAUUUGCAGGAUAAUCUCAGAGAGGUUAACUUCUCUAGUGUCAAUUUCAUCUGUAAAACAAGAAUUUUAAUACCAACUUCAUAAGUGUGCUGUGAGACCUAAAUGAGAUUGUGUGUGGAAGGCCCAACACAUAAUAAGUGCCCAGUUAGCACCUGAGAAAAGAGGUGGUUAUGAGUUCUGCUGCAUCAGACUUGUAAGUACCUGCCCAGCAGCUCUGCAUGGAAAAACGGAGCUCCCAGCACAGCACCUGAGCUCCUAUAAAGGACAGACUGUCUCCUCAAGCUGCUUCCUGACCCCCGUAUACCCAAAGAGACACCUCAUAAAGGAGAGCUUAGGCCAUCUGGAAGAUAACCUGCUGGAACAAAGAUAACAGAAGAAGAAACUGGCAGCAACCCUACUGUUCUGCAGCCCCAGCUUGUGAUCCCCAGGCAAGCAGGGUCUGGAGUGGACCUCCAGCAGUCCUGCAGCAGAGGGCCUGUUAGAAGGAAAACUAAGAAACAGAAAGAAAUCACUUCAUCAUCAACAAAAAGGACAUCCACUCAGAGACCUCAUUAACAAAAAGGACAUCCAUUACAAAGACCACAGGUAGAUAAAGCCACUAAGAUGGGAAGAAAUCAAUGCAAAAUGAUAAAAACACCCAAAACCAGAAUGCCUCUCCUCCUCCAACGGAUCACAACUCCUCACCAGCUAGGGAUCAAAGAUGGAGAACGAAUCUGAAUUCUAGAAACUAAGAACCUAGAAAAAGGUUAGAUGAGAUCCUAACUGGAAUAAACAGCUUAGAGAAGAACAAAAAUGACUUGACGGAACUAAAAAACAUAGCAUGAGAACUUCAUGAAGCAUACACAAGUUUCAAUAGCCAAAUCAACCAAGCAGAAGAAAGGAUAUCAGAGAUUGAAGAUAAAUUCAAUGAAAUAAAACGAGAAGGCAAGAAUAGAGAAAAAAGAGUGAAAAGAAAUGAACAAAGCCUCCAAGAAAUAUGGGAUUAUGUGAAAAGACCUAAUGUACGUUUGAUAGGUGU
rnacentral:lncRNA from 1 species